rnacentral:rRNA from 1 species
AAACUUUCAACAAUGGAUCUCUUGGUUCUGGCAUCGAUGAAGAACGCAGCGAAAUGCGAUAAGUAAUGUGAAUUGCAGAAUUCAGUGAAUCAUCGAAUCUUUGAACGCACAUUGCGCCCCUUGGUAUUCCGAGGGGCAUGCCUGUUCGAGCGUCAUU